rnacentral:rRNA from 1 species
UACAGGGGGGGGCAAGCGUUGUUCGGAAUUACUGGGCGUAAAGGGCUCGUAGGUGGCCAACUAAGUCAGACGUGAAAUCCCUCAGCUUAACUGGGGAACUGCGUCUGAUACUGGAUGGCUUGAGUUUGGGAGAGGGAUGCGGAAUUCCAGGUGUAGCGGUGAAAUGCGUAGAUAUCUGGAGGAACACCGGUGGCGAAGGCGGGUCUCUGGGCCGAUACUGACGCUGAGGCACGAAGGCCAGGGGAGCAAACGGGG